UACGGAGGGGGCUAGCGUUGUUCGGAAUUACUGGGCGUAAAGCGUACGUAGGCGGCUUUGUAAGUUAGAGGUGAAAGCCCGGGGCUCAACUCCGGAAUUGCCUUUAAGACUGCAUCGCUUGAAUCAUGGAGAGGUGGGUGGAAUUCCGAGUGUAGAGGUGAAAUUCGUAGAUAUUCGGAAGAACACCAGUGGCGAAGGCGACUCACUGGACAUGUAUUGACGCUGAGGUACGAAAGCGUGGGGAGCAAACAGG
rnacentral:rRNA from 1 species